rnacentral:rRNA from 1 species
CGGAAAUGAACAGUUUGAUCCUGCUCCAGAUUUGAACGCUAGCGGCAGGUACCCUAACACAUGCAAGUCGAGCGGUAGCACAGAAAGCUCCCCCUUUCGGGUACGAGCGAGCGGACGGGUGUUUUAAAGUAAUGUCUCGCCAAACUGCCCUGAUGCAGGGGGAUAACUACUGGAAACGGUAGCUAAUACCGCAUAAGUACGCAAGACCAAAGUGGGGGACCUUCGGGCCUCAUGCCAUCAGAUGUGCCCAGAUGGGGAUUAGCUAGUAGGUGGGGUAACGGCUCACCUAGGCGUACGAUCCCUAGCUGGUGCUGAGAGGUAUGACCAGCCACACUGGAACUGAGACACGGUCCACACUCCUACGGGAGGCAGCAGUGGGGCAAUAUUGCACAAUGGGCGCAAGCCUGCAUGCAGCCAUGCCGCGUGUGUGAAGAAGGCCUUCGGGUUGUAAAGCACUUUCAGCGGGGAGGCAAGGCGAUAAGGUUAAUAACCUUGGCGAUUGGACGUUACCCGCAGAAGAAGCACCGGCUAACUGCCGUGCCAGCAGCCGCGGUAAUACGGAAGGGUGCAAGCGUUAAUCGGAAUUACUGGAUCGUAAAGCGCACGCAGGCGGUCUGUCAAGUCGGAUGUGAAACCCCCGGGGCUCAACCUGGGAUACUGCCAUUCGUAAACUGCGCGAGGUCUCAGGAGUGCUUGUCAGCAGGGGGGUCAGAAUUCCAGGGUGUAGCGGUGAAAUGCGUAAAGAUCUGGAGGAAUACCGGUGGCGAAGGCGGCCCCCUGAACAAAGACUGACGCUCAGGUGCGAAAGCGUGGGGGAGCAAACAGGAUUAGAUACCCUGGUAGUCCACGCCGUAAACGAUGUCGAUUUGGAGGUUGUGCCCUUGAGGCGUGACUUCCGCAGCUAACGUCGUUAAAUCGACCGCCUGGGGAGUACGGCCGCAAGGUUAAAACUCAAAUGAAUUGACGGGGGCCCGCACAAGCGGUGGAGCAUGUGGUUUAAUUCGAUGCAACGCGAAGAACCUUACCUGGUCUUGACAUGCCACAGAACUUUCCAGAGAUGGAUUGGUGCCUUCGGGAACUGUGAGACAGGUGCUGCAUGGCUGUCGUCAGCUCGUGUUGUGAAAUGUUGGGUUAAGUCCCGCAACGAGCGCAACCCUUAUCCUUUGUUGCCAGCGGUUAGGCCGGGAACUCAAAGGAGUACUGCCAGUGAUAAACUGGCAGGUAAGGUGGGGAUGACGUCAAGUCAUCAUGGCCCUUACGACCAGGGCUACACACGUGCUACAAUGGCUAUAUACAAAGAGAAGCGUACCUCGCGAGAGCAAGCGGACCUCAUAAAGUAUGUCGUAGUCCCGGAUUGGAGUCUGCAACUCGACUCCCAUGAAGUCCGGAAUCGCUAGUAAUCGUAGAUCAGAAUGCUACGGUGAAUACGUUCCCGGGCCUUGUACACACCGCCCGUCUACAACCAUGGGAGUGGGUUGCAAAAGAAGUAGGUAGCUUAAAAAACGGGAGGGCGCCUUACCACUAUGUGACUCUAUGACUGGGGUGAAGUCGUAACAAGGUAGCC